GGAUCAGAUUGUUGGUCGUGCCUCGGUACGCACUGGCAUUAUUGGUUCCUACCUUCUGAAGAACCGCGAUGUCAUUAAUUUGGUGUCGUGGGGAAUCAGGACUGUUACUUUGAAAAAAUUAGAGUGUUUAAAGCAGGCGCACGCUUGAAUACAUUAGCAUGGAAUAAUGAAAUAGGACGUUUGAUUCUAUUUUGUUGGUUUUCAAAUUCGCCGUA
rnacentral:rRNA from 1 species